ACUUGUUCUCAGGGCGGGGUGGAAAUCCCCACCGGCGGUAUUCCGGCCAUGUGCCGGAGAGCCCGCGAGCGCUUUCUGUUUUUCAGAAAGGUCAGCAGAUUUGGUGAGAAACCAAAGCCGACGGUUACAGUCCGGAUGAAAGAGGAUAAGA
rnacentral:ncRNA from 2 species